rnacentral:rRNA from 1 species
AGAGUUUGAUUAUGGCUCAGGAUGAACGCUAGCUACAGGCUUAACACAUGCAAGUCGAGGGGCAGCAGAUCGAAAGCUUGCUUUGAUGCUGGCGACCGGCGCACGGGUGAGUAACGCGUAUCCAACCUUCCCUAUAGUAGAGAAUAGCCCGGCGAAAGUCGGAUUAAUGCUCUAUGUUGUAUUUAGAAGACAUCUGAAGAAUACCAAAGGUUUACCGCUAUAGGAUGGGGAUGCGUCUGAUUAGGUAGUAGGCGGGGUAACGGCCCACCUAGCCGACGAUCAGUAGGGGUUCUGAGAGGAAGGUCCCCCACAUUGGAACUGAGACACGGUCCAAACUCCUACGGGAGGCAGCAGUGAGGAAUAUUGGUCAAUGGACGGAAGUCUGAACCAGCCAAGUAAGCGUGCAGGAUGACGGCCCUAUGGGUUGUAAACUGCUUUUAUAUAGGGAUAAAGUCGGGGACGUGUCCCCGUUUGUAGGUACUAUAUGAAUAAGGACCGGCUAAUUCCGUGCCAGCCGCCGC